rnacentral:rRNA from 1 species
CCUACGGGAGGCAGCAGUAGGGAAUAUUGGGCAAUGGGCGCAAGCCUGACCCAGCAACGCCGCGUGGGCGAUGAAGGCCUUCGGGUUGUAAAGCCCUUUCAGAGGGGAAAAAACAACAGGGUUCUCCCCUGUUCUGAUGGUACCCUCAGAAGAAGCCACGGCUAACUCCGUGCCAGCAGCCGCGGUAAGACGGAGGUGGCAAGCGUUGUCCGGAAUUACUGGGCGUAAAGGGUAUGUAGGCGGUCGAGUAAGUUAGAGGUAAAACCUUGCGGCCAACCGGUAAGCUUGCCUUUAAUACUGCUCGGCUUGAGUACAGGAGAGGAAAGCGGAAUUCCCGGUGUAGCGGUAAAAGGCGUAGAUAUUGGGAAGAACACCGAUGGCGAAGGCGGCUUUCUGGCCUGAUACUGACGCUGAAAUACGAAAGCAAGGGGAGCAAACAGGAUUCGAUAUCCUGGUAGU